AUACUUCCAUUGCAUUCCAUGACGUUGUGUUUUAUUGUUAAUGUGUAGGUGGGAAACUAUCUGAAAAGAGCUGCUGUGGAUCUCGGAGUGGGAGACUUGAUCCACGGGGAGGAAUGCAUACUGUGACUGUACACAUCACUGAAUGCUUGGGACCCGGUACAACUCUGCAUUAAGGAAAUGUUCCGGCAAAAGUCACUGCUGGCGGCUGGCGCUGACCCCUACACCAAUGAAAAAUUUAAGUGAAGAAAUGGCUGAGGGGUCUUUCAAGGAGAUAGCAGGGGGUGAGCAGAUGGACUUACUCUGUUGUCUGAGCUGGGGAUCAUGGUGUCGGUCAUCCACGAGCCAAACCUUGACCCUGAUGCACGUACUGUGAUGGGAUUACUGACGCC